GAAGAACGCUGGCGGCUUGCCUAAUACAUGCAAGUCGAGCGAACGGACGAGAAGCUUGCUUCUCCGAAGUUAGCGGCGGACGGGUGAGUAACACGUGGAUAACCUACCUAUAAGACCGGGAUAACUUCGGGAAACCGGAGCUAAUACCGGAUAAUAUUUUGAACCGCAUGGUUCAAAAGUGAAAGACGGUCUUGCUGUCACUUAUAGAUGGAUCCGCGCUGCAUUAGCUAGUUGGUAAGGUAACGGCUUACCAAGGCAACGAUGCAUAGCCGACCUGAGAGGGUGAUCGGCCACACUGGAACUGAGACACGGUCCAGACUCCUACGGGAGGCAGCAGUAGGGAAUCUUCCGCAAUGGGCGAAAGCCUGACGGAGCAACGCCGCGUGAGUGAUGAAGGUCUUCGGAUCGUAAAACUCUGUUAUUAGGGAAGAACAUAUGUGUAAGUAACUGUGCACAUCUUGACGGUACCUAAUCAGAAAGCCACGGCUAACUACGUGCCAGCAGCCGCGGUAAUACGUAGGUGGCAAGCGUUAUCCGGAAUUAUUGGGCGUAAAGCGCGCGUAGGCGGUUUUUUAAGUCUGAUGUGAAAGCCCACGGCUCAACCGUGGAGGGUCAUUGGAAACUGGAAAACUUGAGUGCAGAAGAGGAAAGUGGAAUUCCAUGUGUAGCGGUGAAAUGCGCAGAGAUAUGGAGGAACACCAGUGGCGAAGGCGACUUUCUGGUCUGUAACUGACGCUGAUGUGCGAAAGCGUGGGGAUCAAACAGGAUUAGAUACCCUGGUAGUCCACGCCGUAAACGAUGAGUGCUAAGUGUUAGGGGGUUUCCGCCCCUUAGUGCUGCAGCUAACGCAUUAAGCACUCCGCCUGGGGAGUACGACCGCAAGGUUGAAACUCAAAGGAAUUGACGGGGACCCGCACAAGCGGUGGAGCAUGUGGUUUAAUUCGAAGCAACGCGAAGAACCUUACCAAAUCUUGACAUCCUUUGACAACUCUAGAGAUAGAGCCUUCCCCUUCGGGGGACAAAGUGACAGGUGGUGCAUGGUUGUCGUCAGCUCGUGUCGUGAGAUGUUGGGUUAAGUCCCGCAACGAGCGCAACCCUUAAGCUUAGUUGCCAUCAUUAAGUUGGGCACUCUAAGUUGACUGCCGGUGACAAACCGGAGGAAGGUGGGGAUGACGUCAAAUCAUCAUGCCCCUUAUGAUUUGGGCUACACACGUGCUACAAUGGACAAUACAAAGGGCAGCGAAACCGCGAGGUCAAGCAAAUCCCAUAAAGUUGUUCUCAGUUCGGAUUGUAGUCUGCAACUCGACUACAUGAAGCUGGAAUCGCUAGUAAUCGUAGAUCAGCAUGCUACGGUGAAUACGUUCCCGGGUCU
rnacentral:rRNA from 1 species